UCCCAGACUCCUACGGGAGGCAGCAGUGAGGAAUAUUGGUCAAUGGCCGCAGGGCUGAACCAGCCAAGUCGCGUGAGGGAUGACGGUCCUAUGGAUUGUAAACCUCUUUUGUCAGGGAGCAAAGGGCGCCACGUGUGGCGCUUUGCGAGUACCUGAAGAAAAAGCAUCGGCUAACUCCGUGCCAGCAGCCGCGGUAAUACGGAGGAUGCGAGCGUUAUCCGGAUUUAUUGGGUUUAAAGGGUGCGCAGGCGGAAUGUCAAGUCAGCGGUAAAAUUUCGGGGCUCAACCCCGUCGUGCCGUUGAAACUGGCGUUCUUGAGUGAAGUAGAGGUUGGCGGAAUUCCGAGUGUAGCGGUGAAAUGCGUAGAUAUUCGGAGGAACACCGGUGGCGAAGGCGGCCAACUGGGCUUUAACUGACGCUGAGGCUCGAAAGUGUGGGGAGCAAACAGGAUUAGAUACCCCUGUAAUC
rnacentral:rRNA from 1 species